UAGCGGCGCGCCUAACACAUGCAAGUCGAGCGAGAAAGGGGCAACCCCGGUAAAGCGGCGCACGGGUGAGCAACACGUAGGUAAUUUACCCCCAGGUGGUGGAUAACCUUCCGAAAGGAGGGCUAAUACAGCAUAAGACCACGACUCCGCGAGGAGCUGAGGUCAAAGCCGGCCUCUUCACGAAAGCUGGCGCCAGGGGAUGAGCCUGCGGCCCAUCACGGUAGUUGGUAGGGUAAUGGCCUACCAAGCCUAAGACGGGUAGCUGGUCUGAGAGGAUGAUCAGCCACACUGGAACUGAGACACGGUCCAGACUCCUACGGGAGGCAGCAGUGGGGAAUCUUGCGCAAUGGGCGAAAGCCUGACGCAGCGACGCCGCGUGAGUGAUGAAGGCCUUCGGGUUGUAAAGCUCUGUGGGGAGGGACGAAUAAGUGCUGGCUAACAUCCAGCGCGAUGACGGUACCUCUUUAGCAAGCACCGGCUAACUCUGUGCCAGCAGCCGCGGUAAGACAGAGGGUGCAAACGUUGUUCGGAAUUACUGGGCGUAAAGCGCGUGUAGGCUGCUUCGAAAGUCGGAUGUGAAAGCCCUGGGCUCAACCUAGGAAGUGCAUUCGAAACUUCGAAGCUUGAGUUCUGGAGA
rnacentral:rRNA from 1 species